GCUUUUAUUUCAGCAGCACGUAUACUAAAAUUGAAAUGAUAGAAAAAAGAUUAGCAUAACUCCUAUCCAAGGAUGAUAUACAAAUUCAUGAAGCAUUCCAUAUAUAU
ensembl:snRNA U6 U6 spliceosomal RNA